rnacentral:rRNA from 1 species
AUUGAACGCUGGCGGCAUGCCUUACACAUGCAAGUCGAACGGCAGCACGGGAGCAAUCCUGGUGGCGAGUGGCGAACGGGUGAGUAAUGUAUCGGAACGUGCCCAUUCGUGGGGGAUAACGUAGCGAAAGCUACGCUAAUACCGCAUACGAUCUAUGGAUGAAAGCGGAGGAUCGCAAGACCUCGCGCGAUUGGAGCGGCCGAUAUCAGAUUAGGUAGUUGGUGGGGUAAAGGCUCACCAAGCCGACGAUCUGUAGCUGGUCUGAGUGGACGAGCGGCCACACUGGGACUGGGACACGGCCCAGACUCCUACGGGAGGCAGCAGUGGGGAAUUUUGGACAAUGGGCGCAAGCCUGAUCCAGCAAUGCCGCGUGCAGGAUGAAGGCCUUCGGGUUGUAAACUGCUUUUGUACGGAACGAAACGGCGAGCUCUAAUACAGUUUGCUAAUGACGGUACCGUAAGAAUAAGCACCGGCUAACUACGUGCCAGCAGCCGCAGUAA